CCAGACUCCUACGGGAGGCAGCAGUGGGGGAUAUUGCACAAUGGGGGAAACCCUGAUGCAGCGACACCGCGUGGGUGAAGAAGCGCUUCGGCGUGUAAAGCCCUAUCAGUGGGGAAGAAAAAGGACGGUACCCAAAGAAGAAGCACCGGCUAAAUACGUGCCAGCAGCCGCGGUAAUACGUAUGGUGCAAGCGUUAUCCGGAAUGACUGGGUGUAAAGGGUGCGUAGGCGGCAUUAUAAGUUAGUGGUAAAAUAUUGGGGCUUCACCUCACUACGCCAUUAAUACUGUAGAGCUAGAGAACAGGCGAGGUAGGCGGAAUAAGUUAAGUAGCGGUGAAAUGCAUAGAUAUAACUUAGAACACCGAUAGCGAAGGCAGCUUACCAGACUGAGUCUGACGCUGAUGCACGAGAGCAUGGGUAGCGAACAGGAUUAGAUACCCGGGUA
rnacentral:rRNA from 1 species